rnacentral:rRNA from 1 species
UACGAGGGGGGCGAGCGUUGUUCGGAAUUAUUGGGCGUAAAGGGUGCGUAGGCGGUUUGGUAAGUCUGAUGUGAAAUCUAUGGGCUCAACUCAUAGUCUGCAUCGGAAACUGCCGGGCUUGAGUGUGGGAGAGGUGAGUGGAAUUCCUGGUGUAGCGGUGAAAUGCGUAGAUAUCAGGAGGAACACCUGUGGCGAAAAGCGGCUCACUGGACCAUAACUGACGCUGAUGCACGAAAGCUAGGGGAGCAAACAGG